CAGCAUGCAGAGGAAGGAGCAGGAGAUAAGGCCUCCUGCUGUGCCUGGGCAGCAAUUUGUGAACAAGGAGAGCAGAAAGCAGCACUGCGGGCAGGUACAGUUGCCAGCAGCAGUGCCAGCUCUUCCCCCAUGAAUACCAAUGCAUCAGCCCAGCACGGGGCGUUUCAGCUCAGCAGCGCUGUGUGUGUCCCCAGGCGGUGGCAGCUGGUACCAAAGGUGGUGGCCCCAGGCUGGCAGCGGGAAAAGCCUAUUCUAACUUUGGAAGCAAAGACUGGUGCCUGUAUCUCAAACGCUUCAGCAGACGUUAACCCAGCUCUCCCAGUGUGGAGCAGGAAGCGGGGAGCCUGCGUUCUCAGCCAGAGCGGGCUCAGGUUUGGGCAGCCUGGGCAGCGAGGCCUGACCACCAUGGAAAAACAUUGGGCUUCUAAACACACAGAGUCUGGGCAAUGUUAUUUGUUUGAAAAGAGAAUAAAUAAAAAAAAAUAAUUCCAUCCAUUCCUCUGGCAAAGACAGCUGGGCAUUUGGAGUGGCGGUGUUUGAAAUGCAAAAUGUACCUCAUUGGAGAGUUGUUUCAUGCCAUUCAUCUUCAGAGCGCGCUCUCGCUGCUUGUUUGCGGUGUGCGGCUAUAAACCAUGCUUUGUGCAAGCGCUCCGGCUGGCUCGGAGGUAAGGAAGAGCAAAGGAUGCUAAUAUCAGACGUUUCAAUCCCCACUGCAACCUACAUUGCUCAAAGCAAGAUGACUUGCAAACAUCUAACACAAAUGAGGAAGAUGAAUCGUAUUCAAGGUCAGGCUCUAUGCCAGGAAACCGAUAGAGGCAAAAGCGGUUAAUUGCUUUAGAUUCCAACAGCCCCCAAACGUGCCCUGCGUACAGACAUCCCUGCCUUGCGCUGCCGUGGACCUCGCCACCCAAACCGGCAAAUAAAAUAGGA